UACGGGGGGUGCGAGCGUUGUCCGGAAUCACUGGGCGUAAAGGGUGCGUAGGUGGCCUGUUAAGUCAGGGGUGAAAGACGGUAGCUUAACUAUCGCAGUGCCCUUGAUACUGAUGGGCUUGAAUGAACUAGAGGUAGGCGGAAUGUGACAAGUAGCGGUGAAAUGCAUAGAUAUGUCACAGAACACCAAUUGCGAAGGCAGCUUACUAUGGUUUUAUUGACACUGAGGCACGAAAGCGUGGGGAUCAAACAGG
rnacentral:rRNA from 1 species